rnacentral:lncRNA from 1 species
AUAGAAAGGAUCAUUUGUGCUGUGUUUUAGAUUCCACAUAUUGCAAUCUUUAAAUGAGAUCUGUUGAGGAAUAAAGGACUGCUGAAUCCUGAUCCACCUAUGUAUUAAAACAGUUUUUUUAUCAUCCUUUCCCAGGAAAGCGGCAAUUCCUAGUAGACUUUUUGUACCAACAAAAGUUAAAGUACAGUUGACUCUUUCCAGGUAUUGUGAUAAUUGAAACACUUUGUUUUUGCUGGUUAGUUUCUUGAUGUCUCAUCUACCCAACCAUUCCUUUCUUCUUUGUGGUGAAUCGUGGACCACAGUUUGCAUUCUGUACUACCUUGGUUGCACACCUCCCCUCUCACUUUCUCACAAAGACCUUAAGAUUGUGGUGGCCACAGUAGUGGUUCCCUGGGAGCUGCAUGAGCACAUUGCCCAGGGGGUACCUCCUAUAUAUUUUGCAGCCAAGACCAAGUUCCCCUCAGCAAUAAGCUCAGAUGGUACCUGCUGCUCUUGAAUGUCGGUUUUCCUCCUGGCAACGUUACUUGUGUUUGUGAGGGACCUCUGUAAAGUAGGCUAUAGCAGAAAGUACAAUCUGCCUAACAAAUUAAUGGCAUUGUGAGGCACUGCCUGCUGGGGUGAAAAUAAAUUGUGAGUACAUGGGACAGGUAAUGGGCCCUAGCUAGACUGUAACAACCCCUUUCAAACUGGUACUAUCUGUGUGCCAAUAGACAUGGCAAUAACUGUCAACAAGAUUUAUGACCCUUUAACAUAGACUCAGUCAGAAGGGAAAGUUGGAGUUCUGUGGUUUUGUUUAAAGUUCUGUGACUUUGUUUAAAGCCUCUUGCUUUUAAAUAACUCUUUCUAGGUGGCAGAAGUGUGGUCUCCUUGCAGGUCAUUCACAGUUCUCAGGGGAGCUCUUUGUAUGGUCUCAAAACUUUGAAUUUUUAUUUUAUUGAUCUUGUAUGUCUUGUUUUACUGUUGUUGACAUUACUAUUUUUAAGUUAAAAUGAAAAAAAUUAUCAGCAUUAAAGUGUCGGAUGUAUAGAGUCUCAUAAAAUAUGGAAAUGUAAUCAUUGUUCAUAUUCUUUUUGCCAUCUGAGAAUAAGUUUCAAUUGUCUCAAAUGUCAUUGAUUCAUCUUCCUGGACAACUCUAGUUUGUCUUUAAGAAUAAUAUGCCCCUUUAAAGAAUGAUUUUCUGUUUUUCUUUUUCCAUUAUUGUUGGUGUCAGGUCUUAAAUCGAGCAUCUCUAUAUAAACCUUUCAUAUGUAUAUAUAAAAUAUUCAUGCAACUCUUUUCCCCCAUUAAUGAUUAGUGUAUGGACAGUUUAUACUUUUAACACCUUUUUCUCAGCCUAUUUUCUUAGUUAACUGAUGGUUUCUGUCUUCAUUAAGGAUUGUGUAAAUGGACAAAACUAAAGAUUGAAUGAAACAGAAGUAAGCUCUUAAAUUGAGCAAAUCGAUUAUCCCCACUUGAAAUCUGAUUUUUCUAAGGCUAGGUAGAGUUUUUAAAACCAUUUUAAAAUGUUGCUAUGUAUGUUUAAAGACAGAUAAUAAAGCACAAUCAUAUUAGGACUAGAAAUGUCAACAUGCACACAAGUCAUUCAUUCAGUAGUUGAAUAUGUGCUCAGCCAACCAGAAUUGUGACCAUCUCCUUCUCACUUACUGCCCUCAAGCCAAAUUGACCUUUUUGAUGCUCAUCAGUACACCAAGUAUGGUACCAUCUUAGAGCCUUUGCAUCGAUAUUUCCUCUGCCUGCAACAUUCUUAGCUCAGACCUUCACGGAGUUUCACAUGGCUUUUUCCUUGCUUUUUUCAGGUUGCUGUUAAAAUACAUUCUCCUGGGAGAGGCUUUCUCUGACCCCGUAUCUAAAAUAUCAUGCCAUCCCCUCCCAUUCUCUAUUCCCUGCCCUACUAUGUAUUAUCCUUUUAAAAAACCUGAACACUUUAAUGAACUAUAGCAUUUGUAUAGAAAAUUGUGCACAUCAUAGUUGUACAGCUGGUAAAUUUUUACAAAUGAACACAACUAUGGAGCUACUCUUGUAGAUCAAGAAAUAGAACAUUACCAACCCCACAGCACCCCCUCCCCAAAUGCAUGUCUUGCUAAAUAUCCUGGCUUCUAUUAUGAUGGGUAAGUUUUUCUGUUUUUAAAUCUUAUACAAACAGAAUCGUGUAAUAUAUAUUCAUUUAUGUUUAGCAUCUUUAUUUUCAUUAUUCAAUUAUAUCCAUUAUAUUAGUAUAUGGUACAGAUUUUUUUUUUCCAGUGGUGCUCUUAUAAAUUCUAUGCUAUGAGCAUUAUCGUGCAGGUCUUUGGACAUGUAUAUGGUAUUUCUUCUGGGAAAAAACUAAGAAAUGAAAAUUGCUGGGCCAUAGGGUGUAUUCAGUUUUGGUAGAUACUUCUAAAAGUGGUUAUACCAAUUUACACUCCAAUCAGCAGAUAAGGCUUCCCAUUGCUCCAUAUCCUGACCAACUCUUUGAAUGAUGAGUCUUUUUAGUUUAUCAUGUUUUAAAUAUCAAUGUAGCUUAUAAGAGAUGGUGUGCAGCACCAUUUUAUAUGACCAAGUUAAUUGUAUAUCCUCUUUUGUGAAAUGACUGUUAAAGUCUCUUGCCCAUUUUUUAAUUGAUUCAAUCUAACUAGAUAUGUAUUUGUAUUUGAAAGAACUAGAGUUUUUGUUGAUUCUAUGGAUUGCAAAUAUAUUCUCCUGCUGUGUGACUUGCCUCUAUAUUAAUGAUGUCUUUUGAAAAUCAGAACAUCUUGAUUUGAUUUGAUUGAAGUUUAUUGUAUCAGUUUAUUCCUUUUUGAUUAUCGCUUUGAUUCAGGGAUUAGUUUUUUAAAAUCUUUUUUAGCAUCUCCUGUGUUAUUUUGAAGAAGUUCUAUUAGUUUGACUUUUGAAUGAAAUUGAUUUUUUGUGUGGUUUAAGAUUGAAGUUGGAAUAAUUUGUUUUUGCAUAACAUUAUUCAGUUUACAUAGGAUUAUAUGCUGAAAAGGCUCCUACCUCAUUGCGUGUGGCAACGUAAUUGUGAUUCAAGUGUUCAUUUAUGUGUUGAUCUAUUUCUGGAUUCUGGAUUCUACACUGAAAAGCAGGCAAAUUUCUCUAGUAUCAGGUAGUAAAUACUUUAAAUUUUGGAGUCAUAGGCUCUCUAUUGCACAACUCUGUCACAGUAGCACAAAAGCAGUCAGAGACAAUACAUAAGUGAAUUGGCAUGGCUGUGUUGCAAUAAAACUACUUACAAAAAUAGGCAGCUGACCAGAUUUGACUCAAGGGUACAGUUUGCUGACACCUUUGGUUAUUGGAGUAUUUAUCAACCUUUAUGUCCGUACUAUACUGUCCUAAUUAAUGUUUUAAUUUUCAAGAAGAAUAUCCCUGUUAUAUUGUUCUUAUACAUUUUAGAAACAGCAUGUUAAUUCCUCCAGUCUAAAAAUAAGUAAAUAAAUAAAUAACUGAGGGGUUAGUAAUUGGAAUUGCAUUGGUAAAUUUAGGGAAAAUUAGUGUCUUUACAAUUUGUGUCUUCCAGUUCAUAAACAUAUUGUAUCUUACCAUUGAUUUGGGUUUUCUAAAAAAACUUCUCAUAAUAAUGAUUUACAACUUUUGAUAUAGUACUCUCAUGCCUAGGUAUUUGAUGCUAUUCCAAACAGUAUGUUUUGUAGUACUUACUUUCUAAUUGUCUAUUGCUGUUAUACAGAUACAAAACUUCAUGAAACCAUUUAUCAGUUCUGAUAGUGUAUGCAUAGAUUCUGUUGGAUCGUAAAUAUCUGUAAACAUGUCAGAUAUAAACAAUGACAGUUUUAUUUCUUGUCUUUCUACCCUUAGAUGUUUCAUUUUCCUUUUCUUGUGAGGUUUCCAAUUCAGCACUGAAUACGAGUGGUGAGAGUGGAUGUUGAUAUUGGGGGUAAAGAGGUAGAUUUAUCCCAUGUAAGGUUAUAUCCCGAGUUUGCCUCUCCUGUGUUCCUGCUCAUUGCAGUGAUUGCAUCUACCUUUCUUCUGGCCAUUAUGUGCCACUUCUUGGUAUUUAUUAUUUAGAAAUUAUAUCAUUCUCAUUUUUAUCAGGAAUCCCAGUUUUGUAAUGUCAUUUCCUACGCUGCCUACGGAAGACAGCUACCACUGAGCUUCUCAUCGAUGCUGACGUCCGUCUGCAUAGCACAUUCUCUAUUGUUUGAUAGAUGGAGUGUCUGAAGGGCUCUCCUGUUAAGUGGUGAGGUUUCUAGCCUGAACAUAUAUUUUUUUUUCCCUCAGGCAUGCCUAAUACACUGAGUCUUUUGAUCACUUCCUCCUUCAUCUCCCAUAGCGGUUGUGGAAUUUCUGCCUCACUUAGCAUAGGUCUUAACUUUUUCCAAGCUUCCAAGAAUUAUCCAAGCAGCUGUUAACACCGUCCCCUAGGAUAUAUGCCAGGGUUUUAAAUUGUUUCACAAGAGAGUGCACUCAGAUCAAUUAAAUACUAUAUGUAAAUGUAUAUUCUGUCACCUGCGGACAAGACCCUCCAGAUCCAUGCCCUACAUACUCUCUCAGCUCCUGCAGACCCUGCAGAAACUUUAGUGAUAGCCCCUCUUUUUUCUUAGCAGUCCCGUAGCAUCUCUUUUCUGGUUGUGCUGGUAUGUGAUCCUUAAUGUGGGCCUGGAUUGCCAGGAGGACUGAUGGCAGACCUUGAAGAAGGGAAAGGAUUAUCUAUAAGGAAGCUACCUCUUGUCAGGUUUCCAUAUGAUAUUCAGCCAGAGUGUGAAGAGUAGUAUAUUGUAAAAAAGAGAGAUAGGCUACUUUUUACAGUCCCAGAGAGAAAGUAGAUGUGAUGUCUGAAUUGCAUCUAUCCAGGUAUCCAUAUGUCACUAUUGCAACUCUCAGGGUUCUGAUAAUACAAUAGAAGACAAGACUUCUCUGAAGUCUGAUGCUUUCAUGAGUAAGUGCCAGGCCUGGUCUUUUGCUCUCCUUGCUCUCUGGCUGCACAAGGUUAGAAAUCAUAAAUCUCACAAAAGAAGCCCUCUGGCUUUCACUUUUUGCCCAGAAGUGGUGAUUAAUCAGUAUGGUAUUUGCUUCACUUGAGCCAUUAAAAAAACUCUUAUGGAAGAUCUACUACAUGCUACCCCCUGAAUAUACAGGAUGAACAAGAGAGAGAGUAUACCCUGUCUCUAGCAGAUUAUUUCAUUUAAUCCUAACAACAGUCCUGCAAAGGAAGCAGCAUUUUGCCAAUUUUUAAGCUGAAAAAACUUGGAUCAUUUAUCUUCAGUAGUAGAACAGAGCGCUUAGAGACUGUUAGAGACCUGCAUGUGGAACUGAGAAAAAUGUGUCCCAUAUUUUUAGUUUGUUUUACAAACAAGACCCCAUUUUACCCCUCGCAAAGCCCCUAAAGGCUUUUCUUCCCUUAAUGUUUCCCACCAGCUCUGAUAGUCCCUGGUUCUCUCUGCUCCUGGCCCAUACAUUUCCCCUUUAUCCACCUGAAAACACAGUUUCACACUUUUUUCUAUGUUUAUCUGAUAGUUUUUUAAUUAUUGGUUAAUGUUUUCACUCUUGUAACUAAUUCCAUAUCUUUACCUUAUACAUGUUUAAAAAAGAAGAUAGGAGUUCCUGUCGUGGUUCAGUGGUUAACAAAUCUGACUAGGAACCAUGACGUUGAAGGUUUGAUCCCUGGCCUUGCUCAGUGGGUUAAGGAUGUGGUGUAGGUCACAGACAUGGCUCAGAUCUGGCGUUGCUGUGGCGUAGGCUGGCGGCUACAGCUCUGAUUAGACCCCUUGCCUGGGAACCUCCAUAUGCUGCAGAUGCAGCCCUAGAAAACACAAAAAGACAAAAAAAAAAAA